rnacentral:rRNA from 1 species
UGAGGAAUAUUGGACAAUGGGCGCAAGCCUGAUCCAGCCAUGCCGCGUGCAGGAUGACGGUCCUAUGGAUUGUAAACUGCUUUUAUACAGGAAGAAACCCUCCGACGUGUCGGAGCUUGACGGUACUGUAAGAAUAAGGAUCGGCUAACUCCGUGCCAGCAGCCGCGGUAAUACGGAGGAUCCAAGCGUUAUCCGGAAUCAUUGGGUUUAAAGGGUCCGUAGGCGGUCAGAUAAGUCAGUGGUGAAAGCCCAUCGCUCAACGGUGGAACGGCCAUUGAUACUGUCUGACUUGAAUUAUUAGGAAGUAACUAGAAUAUGUAGUGUAGCGGUGAAAUGCUUAGAGAUUACAUGGAAUACCAAUUGCGAAGGCAGGUUACUACUAAUGGAUUGACGCUGAUGGACGAAAGCGUGGGUAGCGAACAGG